UAAGGGCGCACGGUGGAUGCCUUGGCACUAGAAGCCGAUGAAGGACGUUACUAACGACGAUAUGCUUUGGGGAGCUGUAAGUAAGCUUUGAUCCAGAGAUUUCCGAAUGGGGAAACCCAGCAUGAGUUAUGUCAUGUUAUCGAUAUGUGAAUACAUAGCAUAUCAGAAGGCACACCCGGAGAACUGAAACAUCUUAGUACCCGGAGGAAGAGAAAGAAAAUUCGAUUCCCUUAGUAGCGGCGAGCGAAACGGGAAGAGCCCAAACCAACAAGCUUGCUUGUUGGGGUUGUAGGACACUCUAUACGGAGUUACAAAGGACGACAUUAGACGAAUCAUCUGGAAAGAUGAAUCAAAGAAGGUAAUAAUCCUGUAGUCGAAAAUGUUGUCUCUCUUGAGUGGAUCCUGAGUACGACGGAGCACGUGAAAUUCCGUCGGAAUCUGGGAGGACCAUCUCCUAAGGCUAAAUACUCUCUAGUGACCGAUAGUGAACCAGUACCGUGAGGGAAAGGUGAAAAGCACCCCGGAAGGGGAGUGAAAUAGAACCUGAAACCGUGUGCUUACAAGUAGUCAGAGCCCGUUAAUGGGUGAUGGCGUGCCUUU
rnacentral:rRNA from 1 species